CCAAAAAUAAGAAACACCAAAUGACUGGCCAUACAUUUAUUAACAGUGGUUUGUGGGAUUGCUUGGUUUUAUGUAAAUGUCAACAUUGAACUCAAAAAAUGCUCACAUCUGCAUGAAGCCUUUUCUGUUCUCUAUCAAAGUAAACUACCUUGAGGAAAAUUGAAUUUCAAAAUGAAAAAGAAAAUUCUUGAUGUGUUUAUGAACAAAUGGUAUAUGUUUUGUUUGAAUCUAUAGGGAAAGCAGGAGGAAGACACAAGGUUCAGGAAUAAUCACAUCAAAGAAUAUUUAGAAAAAAUAUUAGAAGGUAUGAGGCUUUCGUUGGUCUAAUUUGACAACUUUGUUAUGCAUUUCGUGUGAUAGGUAUGUACUUUUAUUGUGACAUCAUUACAACCUAAUAAUAACUUUAACUAAAAGGAUGUUAUUUUUUCUAAAUUCUGUUUAUUAUAGAUAAUCAGAGAAAAUAUGCUUUUGAAGAUGCAGCAGUAAGGAUUUUUUAGUUGAUGAAUAUACAUAAAGAAAUGGAGACAUAUUGAAUUAAAGAAAUGCUUAAUAUAGUGGAGCAUUAAAUUGAUCGAUUUUUAACCCAAUUCUUUCAGAUUUUGUUAUGUGAGAUGUAUGUGAAAAGAAUAAUUCAUGAGAUAUAUCCUACUGAAAAGCAAAGGUUGAGUGCUUCAGCACAGUGUAAAACCACAGGAUACUUUGGAUCCCGAUUCUCUUGGUUGGAUGAUUUACCUCCCUUUAAAGGAGUGUUCUCAGUAAGACAGCCCUGCCUGUAUCUUCGGUCCUCCAGUCCCACCACGGCGAGGAAGACCCACAUGGCAGCACCCACCCCCACGCUCAGCAAGCACGGCACCUGUUCUUGUGCCCUCUGUCAUGAGGAUCUUGUCAAACUACAGAGCAUGCUGUGUUCUCCUUGCUGUAGUGAGACAGUAGCGACCAAAGUUCUUUCCCUUCUUGAGACCUCUACUUCCAUACUAGGAUGGGAUGCUCUCUGGAUGCUUUGUAAAAUUAGGUCAAAGGUCACAGACACUUUCAAGGCCUUGGUUCAGAAGUACCCAGCUGUUAUUCUAAGCUAUGGAACAUCUGUACUGGGAUCUGACCCAGGCCUAUGGAGUAACUAUCUAAAUGAAGUUGUACAAAUGAACAAAAUGCAGGCAGAAAGCCCUGAUGAGAAUGCUGAAAUCUAUUUUAAAUCAUUUCAAGGAAUACUAAAACACCUGACAGAUGUGUUGGAAUUGAGAGACUUUCUACAAAUUUUACCUGACGAAGGGAAUAUGCUGUUCUUUCUACCCUAUAUAACUGAGUGUCAAGAAAAGGAAAAAUCUAAACAACUGUUGAACAUAAUCAGGAAAAAGGGGGAACAUUUACAGCACUAUAUAUGAUAUAUGCUGAUAAGUGUAAUAAAAGUUGGUAUUCUGGAGAAAAGAAAAAAAACCCAUGGGCAACAAACUACAUAAUAUGCAUAACAAUGCUGUAAUUUUAUUUGUUUUCUAAAAUUUUAUGUAUUAAUUAAAAAUUUUGAAUAAAUUUUGUGCAAAUUUUACAAAGUGAUGUAAACUUCUCAAAAAAAAAUAGAUCUGCAUCUUGCAUCAAAGAUAUCUUAACCAACAAUUUGCAAAAAAAAACCCAAAACAUUGGGUAGGACUUUUUGAUUAAAAUACAGGAUCUAUACAUGUACAGCAACACUUUGCGCUGUUGUAGAGACCUGUAUUUUAAGAUUACGGACCAUGUGUUUACAAGCAUGCCUGUGAUAGAUAUUUACGAUCAUUAGAAAAUUGACAACU
rnacentral:misc_RNA from 1 species